CAGUAGCCACGGUAAAACGAAGGGGGCUAGCGUUGUUCGGAUUUACUGGGCGUAAAGCGCACGUAGGCGGACUUUUAAGUCAGGGGUGAAAUCCCGGGGCUCAACCCCGGAACUGCCUUUGAUACUGGAAGUCUUGAGUAUGGUAGAGGUGAGUGGAAUUCCGAGUGUAGAGGUGAAAUUCGUAGAUAUUCGGAGGAACACCAGUGGCGAAGGCGGCUCACUGGACCAUUACUGACGCUGAGGUGCGAAAGCGUGGGGAGCAAACAGGAUUAGAUACCCGGGUAGUCCCUGUCUCUUAUAC
rnacentral:rRNA from 1 species